rnacentral:rRNA from 1 species
UGGGGGAGUAUUGCACAAUGGGGGAAACCCGUGAUGCAGCAACGCCGCGUGAGUGAAGAAGGUCUUCGGAUUGUAAAGCUCUGUUCUUGGUGAAGAUAAUGACGGUAGCCAAGGAGAAAGCUCCGGCUAACUACGUGCC